rnacentral:rRNA from 1 species
UGAUUAUGGCUCAGGACGAACGUUGGCGGCGUGCCUAAUACAUGCAAGUCAACUGAAGCAAGGUAGCAAUAUCUUGUGGAGGUGGCGCACGGGUGAGUAACACGUAGGUAAUCUGCCUUCAGGUCUGACAUAACUCCGGGAAACCGGAGCUAAUAGCAGAUGAUGCAGCGGCUUGACAUCAAGACAGUUGUUAAAGCUUCGGCGCCUGAAGAUGAGCCUGCGUCUGAUUAGCUAGUUGGCGGAGUAAUAGCCCACCAAGGCGACGAUCAGUAACUGGUCUGAGAGGAUGAUCAGUCACACUGGAACUGAGACACGGUCCAGACUCCUACGGGAGGCAGCAGUAAGGAAUAUUGCUCAAUGGGGGAAACCCUGAAGCAGCAACGCCGCGUGAGGGAUGAAGGGCUUUUGCUUGUAAACCUCUGUAGUGAGGGAAAAAAUUUCCACUCUGUGGAAUAUGAUGGUACCUCAAAAGUAAGCCCCGGCUAACUACGUGCCAGCAGCCGCGGUAAUACGUAGGGGGCAAACGUUGUCCGGAUUUACUGGGUGUAAAGGGUGCUCAGGCGGUUUUGUAAGUCAGAAGUGAAAUCCUAGGGCUUAACUCUGGAACUGCUUUUGAUACUGCAAGGCUUGAAUGUGGAAGAGGAGGAUGGAAUUUCUGGUGUAGCAGUGAAAUGCGUAGAUAUCAGAAAGAACACCAGUGGCGAAGGCGGUCCUCUGGUCCACUAUUGACGCUAAAGCACGAAAGCGUGGGGAGCAAACAGGAUUAGAUACCCUGGUAGUCCACGCCUUAAACGAUGAAUACUAGACGUUGGGGUUAAACUCAGUGUCGCAGCUAACGCAUUAAGUAUUCCACCUGGGGAGUACGAUCGCAAGGUUGAAACUCAAAUGAAUUGACGG